CCUACGGGAGGCAGCAGUAGGGAAUCUUUCACAAUGGGCGAAAGCCUGAUGGAGCAACGCCGCGUGCAGGAUGAAGGUCCUCCGGUUUUUAACCGCUUUUUUACGCGAGACAUACGAUGGUUACUUAUGACUAAGGAUCGGCUAACUACGUGCCAGCAGCCGCGGUCAUACGUAGGAUCCGAGCAUUAUCCGGAGUGACUGGGGGUAAAGAGUUGCGUAGGUGGCAUAAUAAGUAGCUAGUGAAAUCUGGUGGCUCAACCAUUCAGACUAUUAGCUAAACUGUUAAGCUCGAGACCGUUAGGGGUAACUGGAAUGUCUGGUGUAGGAGUGAAAUCCGUAGAUAUUAGAAAGAACACCGAUAGCGAAGGCAGGUUACUGGGACGGUUCUGACACUAAGGCACGAAAGCGUAGGGAGCAAACGGGAUUAGAUACCCCAGUAGUC
rnacentral:rRNA from 1 species